GGGGCUGUAGCUCAGUGGCGGAGCACUUGCCUUGCAUGUAUGAGACACUGGGUUCGAUCCUCAGUACCA
rnacentral:tRNA from 1 species